rnacentral:misc_RNA from 1 species
GUAUUUUGAAUUAAGUAUUCAUAAUAUUUUUCAGACAAAAAUCGUUAAAAAUAAAGGGUUGAUGUAUAAAAAGUCCUAAUCGACGAGCAGAAACGAAUUUCUGUCCGCACAAAAAAGGACUCAAACAUUGCACACAAGGUGGAUAUGGAUUUUUUUAAAGAGUGCCAUAAAACACUCGUUUAUGAAUGAUCCUUCCGCAGGUUCACCUACGGAAA